AACGAACGCUGGCGGCAUGCCUAACACAUGCAAGUCGAACGAGACCUUCGGGUCUAGUGGCGCACGGGUGCGUAACGCGUGGGAACCUGCCCUUAGGUUCGGAAUAACUCCCCGAAAGGGGUGCUAAUACCGGAUAAUGUCUUCGGACCAAAGAUUUAUCGCCUUUGGAUGGGCCCGCGUUGGAUUAGCUAGUUGGUAGGGUAAAAGCCUACCAAGGCGACGAUCCAUAGCUGGUCUGUGAGGAUGAUCAGCCACACUGGGACUGAGACACGGCCCAGACUCCUACGGGAGGCAGCAGUGGGGAAUAUUGGACAAUGGGCGAAAGCCUGAUCCAGCAAUGCCGCGUGAGUGAUGAAGGCCUUAGGGUUGUAAAGCUCUUUUACCCGGGAUGAUAAUGACAGUACCGGGAGAAUAAGCGCCGGCUAACUCCGUG
rnacentral:rRNA from 1 species